rnacentral:rRNA from 1 species
CCUACGGGAGGCAGCAGUGGGGAAUUUUGGACAAUGGGGGCAACCCUGAUCCAGCCAUUCCGCGUGAGUGAAGAAGGCCUUCGGGUUGUAAAGCUCUUUCGCAAGGGAAGAAAACUUAUGAUCGAAUAAAUCAUGAGGUUGACGGUACCUUGAUAAGAAGCACCGGCUAACUACGUGCCGGCAGCCGCGGUAAUACGUAGGGUGCGAGCGUUAAUCGGAAUUACUGGGCGUAAAGCGUGCGCAGGCGGUUUUGUAAGUCGGAUGUGAAAUCCCCGGGCUCAACCUGGGAACUGCGUUCGAAACUGCAAGGCUAGAGUGUGUCAGAGGGGGGUAGAAUUCCACGUGUAGCAGUGAAAUGCGUAGAGAUGUGGAGGAAUACCAAUGGCGAAGGCAGCCCCCUGGGAUAACACUGACGCUCAUGCACGAAAGCGUGGGGAGCAAACAGGAUUAGAUACCCUGGUAGUCCACGCCCUAAACGAUGUCAACUAGUUGUUGGUAGAGUAAAAUCUAUGAGUAACGUAGNUACGACGUGAGUAGUACGCCGCGGAGGUACGGUCGGCGAGAAGUUAAAACGUUAAAAGUAAAGUUAGUAGGACGUGAGACGUGCGACGACGACGACGAGGGAGGAGG